rnacentral:rRNA from 1 species
CAAAGGUGAGCCAGUACAGGAUGGACCCGCGUCUGAUUAGCUAGUUGGUAAGGUAACGGCCUACCAAGGCGACGAUCAGUAGCCGACCUGAGAGGGUGAUCGGCCACAUUGGAACUGAGACACGGUCCAAACUCCUACGGGAGGCAGCAGUGGGGAAUAUUGCACAAUGGGCGAAAGCCUGAUGCAGCAACGCCGCGUGAGUGAUGAAGGCCUUCGGGUCGUAAAACUCUGUCCUCAAGGAAGAUAAUGACGGUACUUGAGGAGGAAGCCCCGGCUAACUACGUGCCAGCAGCCGCGGUAAUACGUAGGGGGCUAGCGUUAUCCGGAUUUACUGGGCGUAAAGGGUGCGUAGGCGGUCUUUCAAGUCAGGAGUGAAAGGCUACGGCUCAACCGUAGUAAGCUCUUGAAACUGGGAGACUUGAGUGCAGGAGAGGAGAGUGGAAUUCCUAGUGUAGCGGUGAAAUGCGUAGAUAUUAGGAGGAACACCAGUUGCGAAGGCGGCUCUCUGGACUGUAACUGACGCUGAGGCACGAAAGCGUGGGGAGCAAACAGGAUUAGAUACCCUGGUAGUCCACGCUGUAAACGAUGAGUACUAGGUGUCGGGGGUUACCCCCUUCG